GACGAACGCUGGCGGCGUGCUUAACACAUGCAAGUCGAACGGAAAGGCCCUGCUUUUGUGGGGUGCUCGAGUGGCGAACGGGCGAGUAACACGUGAGUAACCUGCCCUUGACUUUGGGAUAACUUCAGGAAACUGGGGCUAAUACCGGAUAGGAGCUCCUGCUGCAUGGUGGGGGUUGGAAAGUUUCGGCGGUUGGGGAUGGACUCGCGGCUUAUCAGCUUGUUGGUGGGGUAGUGGCUUACCAAGGCUUUGACGGGUAGCCGGCCUGAGAGGGUGACCGGCCACAUUGGGACUGAGAUACGGCCCAGACUCCUACGGGAGUCAGCAGUGGGGAAUAUUGCACAAUGGGCGGAAGCCUGAUGCAGCAACGCCGCGUGCGGGAUGACGGCCUUCGGGUUGUAAACCGCUUUCGCCUGUGACGAAGCGUGAGUGACGGUAAUGGGUAAAGAAGCACCGGCUAACUACGUG
rnacentral:rRNA from 1 species